rnacentral:tRNA from 1 species
CGGGGUGUAGUUCAGUUGGUAGAACAGCGGGUUUUGAUCCCGUAGGUCGUAGGUUCGAGUCCUACCGCCCCUG